rnacentral:lncRNA from 1 species
GAUGCUGGGCCAGGGAGCCGGGUGAGACUCGGGCCUCGCCCUGCUCUGCACACCUAGGAAUCUGCAGAUUGCUCCUGUCGGGGCAAGAGCCCAGCACCCCCGGGAAGGCCUCUCCAGGCAGGACAACAGAGCAACACUGCUGCAGAGCUGCGGGCACUGGGAAUAAUGCCUCUGGAUUUGAACAAGCUCCCAGUGGAAAGUGGACAAGCAGAAUUGGGUCCUGCAGUGCUGGUGGCCUCCUUCAGGACAUAUUGCUCCUGGGGAUCCUUUUCUGUCCACUCAUCCUCACUAACCACUGUGCUUCACUACCAGUCUCUCAGCUAGUUCUUUCUGGUUCGCUGGCCAGCCCUCCCUGGCCUUAAAACCUUGCCUCAUUGCUUUCCUGACUCCCUUCUUCGCUCCCCAAAGAAGCUGAUGACAAAAGUGAGAGGCUGCACACGUUUUAUUU